rnacentral:pre_miRNA from 1 species
UGUUAAAAAUCUCAUCCAAUUUUACUAUUAAGAAAUGGUGUAGUUAAUGGAAUGACCAAAAAGUUAUACGUGGGAUGCCAAGUACAACUCAUACUGACGUAUAAGAACCCAUUUUUAUGUUUUAAUAAUAAAAAUAGAUGAAAGUUUUAACA